UACGUAGGGUGCAAGCGUUAAUCGGAAUUACUGGGCGUAAAGCGUGCGCAGGCGGUUUUGUAAGUCUGUCGUGAAAUCCCCGGGCUCAACCUGGGAAUUGCGAUGGAGACUGCAAGGCUAGAGUUUGGCAGAGGGGGGUAGAAUUCCACGUGUAGCAGUGAAAUGCGUAGAGAUGUGGAGGAACACCGAUGGCGAAGGCAGCCCCCUGGGAUAACACUGACGCUCAUGCACGAAAGCGUGGGGAGCAAACAGG
rnacentral:rRNA from 1 species